rnacentral:rRNA from 1 species
GACGGAGGGUGCAAGCGUUGUUCGGAAUCAUUGGGCGUAAAGAGUGCGUAGGCGGCACAGCAAGUCGGGUGUGAAAGCCCAGGGCUCAACCCUGGAACUGCGCCCGAAACUGCUGAGCUUGAGUCCGGGAGAGGGUGGCGGAAUUGUCGGUGUAGAGGUGAAAUUCGUAGAUAUCGGCAAGAACAUCUGUGGCGAAGGCGGCCACCUGGAUCGAGACUGACGCUGAGGCACGAAAGCGUGGGGAGCAAACAGG